CAGUCGAGCGAACAGACGAGGAGCUUGCUCCUCUGACGUUAGCGGCGGACGGGUGAGUAACACGUGGAUAACCUACCUAUAAGACUGGGAUAACUUCGGGAAACCGGAGCUAAUACCGGAUAAUAUAUUGAACCGCAUGGUUCAAUAGUGAAAGACGGUUUUGCUGUCACUUAUAGAUGGAUCCGCGCCGCAUUAGCUAGUUGGUAAGGUAACGGCUUACCAAGGCAACGAUGCGUAGCCGACCUGAGAGGGUGAUCGGCCACACUGGAACUGAGACACGGUCCAGACUCCUACGGGAGGCAGCAGUAGGGAAUCUUCCGCAAUGGGCGAAAGCCUGACGGAGCAACGCCGCGUGAGUGAUGAAGGUCUUCGGAUCGUAAAACUCUGUUAUUAGGGAAGAACAAAUGUGUAAGUAACUAUGCACGUCUUGACGGUACCUAAUCAGAAAGCCACGGCUAACUACGUGCCAGCAGCCGCGGUAAUACGUAGGUGGCAAGCGUUAUCCGGAAUUAUUGGGCGUAAAGCGCGCGUAGGCGGUUUUUUAAGUCUGAUGUGAAAGCCCACGGCUCAACCGUGGAGGGUCAUUGGAAACUGGAAAACUUGAGUGCAGAAGAGGAAAGUGGAAUUCCAUGUGUAGCGGUGAAAUGCGCAGAGAUAUGGAGGAACACCAGUGGCGAAGGCGACUUUCUGGUCUGUAACUGACGCUGAUGUGCGAAAGCGUGGGGAUCAACAUGGAUUAGAUACCCUGGUAGUCCACGCCGUAACGAUGA
rnacentral:rRNA from 1 species